UACGUAGGGUGCGAGCGUUGUCCGGAAUUAUUGGGCGUAAAGGGCUCGUAGGCGGUUUGUCGCGUCGGGAGUGAAAACCAGGUGCUUAACACCUGGCUUGCUUUCGAUACGGGCAGACUAGAGGUAUUCAGGGGAGAACGGAAUUCCAGGUGUAGCGGUGAAAUGCGUAGAUAUCUGGAGGAACACCGGUGGCGAAGGCGGCAUCCUGGACCGACAUUGACGCUGAGGCGCGAAAGCCAGGGGAGCAAACGGG
rnacentral:rRNA from 1 species